AUUGAACGCUGGCGGAAUGCUUUACACAUGCAAGUCGAACGGCAGCACGGGGGCAACCCUGGUGGCGAGUGGCGAACGGGUGAGUAAUACAUCGGAACGUGCCCAGUCGUGGGGGAUAACGUAGCGAAAGUUACGCUAAUACCGCAUACGAUCUACGGAUGAAAGCGGGGGAUCGCAAGACCUCGCGCGAUUGGAGCGGCCGAUGUCAGAUUAGGUAGUUGGUGGGGUAAAGGCUCACCAAGCCGACGAUCUGUAGCUGGUCUGAGAGGACGACCAGCCACACUGGGACUGAGACACGGCCCAGACUCCUACGGGAGGCAGCAGUGGGGAAUUUUGGACAAUGGGCGCAAGCCUGAUCCAGCCAUUCCGCGUGCAGGAUGAAGGCCCUCGGGUUGUAAACUGCUUUUGUACGGAACGAAACGGCGCUCUCUAAUACAGGGCGCUAAUGACGGUACCGUAAGAAUAAGCACCGGCUAACUACGUGCCAGCAGCCGCGGUAA
rnacentral:rRNA from 1 species